CACGUGGAUGACGUACCCUGGUGUGGGGGAUACCCUCCAGAAAUGGAGGCUAAUACCGCAUACGGUCUGGUGGAUCAAGCCAUCAGAAGAAAGCCGAGAGGCGCAGCAGGAGCGGUCUGCGGCCGAUUAGCUAGUUGGCGAGGUAAGAGCUCACCAAGGCGGCGAUCGGUAGCUGGUCUGAGAGGAUGAUCAGCCACACUGGGAUUGAGAACGGCCCAGACUCCUACGGGGGGCAGCAGUGAGGGAUCUUCGGCAAUGGGGGCAACCCUGACCGAGCAACGCCGCGUGCAGGACGGAGGCCUUCGGGUUGUAAACUGCUUUUCUCAGGGGCGAGUAUUCGGACGGUACCUGAGGAAGAAGUCUCGGCUAACUACGUGCCAGCAGCCGCGGUAAUACGUAGGAGACGAGCGUUGUCCGGAGUUACUGGGCGUAAAGGGUGCGCAGGCGGCUUAGCGCGUCGCAAGUGAAAUCUCCUGGCUCAACUGGGAGGGCGGUUGCGAGACGGCUGAGCUUGAGGCUUGGAGAGGGGCGUGGAAUUCCGGGUGGAGCGGUGAAAUGCGUAGAGAUCCGGAGGAACACCGACGGCGAAGGCAGCGCCCUGGACAAGACCUGACGCUCAGGCACGAAAGCUCGGGGAGCGAACAGGAUUAGAUACCCUGGUAGUCCGAGCGGUAAACGAUGUCCACCAGGUGUGGGCGGUAUCGACCCCGCCCGCGCCGCAGCUAACGUGAUGAGUGGA
rnacentral:rRNA from 1 species